UGAAAGUACGGUACUCAGAAAUUCUGGAAGGAAUUAGGCAUUUAAUGUGUCCACAAACUGAGCGGGGAAGGAAGGCUUCUAUUACAUAAGACAGCACUCCACCUUCAGGUAUUAUGGAAGAUGCUGUUGAAGGUUUUAGUGUUUUAAUGAACGAAACACAUUCUUUGUGUGUGUGUCUCUGGAGAAAUCUCGAAUGCUACUGUCUUGCUUUGGCUACUUUGCAGGGGACGUUCUUAUAUUUAGCAUCAGCAUAAAAAGGUGUUCAAAGGUGUGACUUCCUCUUUCAAGCCAAGAAGCCGUUUACUUGUCUGAAUUGUUGUGGAACAAUAUAUGUGAUAAUUGUGUACUUUGAAGAUUUUAUAUCAAAACUUGAGCACAGAUAACUGGAAGAAAUGUCAACAUUGCUAAUUUGUGUAUCCUAAACCACACUUCGAAAAUUGAAGACAGUUUCAACACUAUCUGAGGGUCUAAAUCAGUAAUUAUUUGCUAUUUGCAGUAUUUCAAUAGAAAAAUUUUUGGCUAUGCAAAUGAAGGUACUAACCUGAGUAAUCUAAGUUUUCUUUUAACCCCCAAAUUUUGAUUCUUUGUUAAAAUAAUGUUUGAAAAUAUCGUACCAUGCAGGGCAAUUACUGAAGGUCAUGAAAAUGUCAUCGUGUUUUAUUCUAAAAACAAAAAUGAAUCUAUGCAGAAAAUUUCCGUGUCCCAUGAACUUCAUAUUAGUUUAAUUUUAAAAGUACUGUCUCCAAAAGAAACUAAUUUUCACUUCCACACAAGGUGAUUAAAUACCAGUCAGAGAUUGUUUGAGGUGGUAGAGUUGGAAAUGAGGUGGUGACCUGGCCAUGUCCCUGGGUGCAGCCUUGCUGUCCUUUUCCAGCCAGCAUGUCUUUUCCCAUCGCAUGGGGACUUUGGCUUUUGGGCUAUUUCUCCUCCUCUAGACCUAAAGUCCCUGUGGGGGACGCUCUAGAUGCGCACUUCCUUGACUGUCUCAAAUCCAGUGUCUUCCAUGUACUCCAGCUACCAAGUCCUCUAAGUACCUCUAAGUCUUGCCCUCUCUUGAGAUGCUCAACUUCUGAAAACUCUUAGUGCCUCCAUCCCGCAAGCUCCUUCCUUCCGGGUUGCAAACCGGACUCCCACUGUAAUCUUCAAUGCAAGCGAUCUCCAAUGCUUUUCCUCCUGCGGGUUUGGCAGGUGACUUUGUAGCCCAUUCUACCAGGAAAAUAGAGGUCAUAAGGAUCUCCUCACGUCCUCCCCCAUCUCCCCUGUACAGACUUUUCUGUGUUUACCCAGUCAUCCAAUAAAUCUUCUUAAGCAUCUACUGUGUCUGGGUACUUUGCUGGAUACUCAUAGGUGGUAAAUAGAGCAGAUCCUUGCUCGCUUGAAACUGUCAUUCUUGUGGGAGAAAACCAACUAAAAGCAAACAUAAUAUAUUGUAAAAUGUAUGAUAAAUGAAUAGGGUAGAAUUAUAAAGAAAAAUCAAGUUAGACUGAGAACUUAGGGAAAUAAAGAGAGAUGGCCUCCUUGGGGCAGUGACUAAUGUCUCCAGCUGUGUCCUGAAUCCCAACUCCCAGUGCCUCUCUCUCCUUGUGAGUGUUACUCCCUUUUCUUACUUUUAUCUUCAGUCUCUCUCUGUGAGCUUUUUUCUUUUUUAGUAGUAUUUUAAGAAUGCCUUAACCUCCCUUGUCCCUGCAUCCUCAGCUCACCUGUAGUGACAACCACGUCUCUCCAGGCUUCUUAAACUGGUCUCCCCUUCCUGCUCAGCUCUUUGCAAGCUGGCCAGAGUCUCCUCAAAGUUCAAGGCCCGUGACUUCCUGAACAAGCAAUCUUUUUUUUUUAUUUUAAUUUUUAUUAUUAUGCUUUAAGCUCUGGGGUACAUGUGCAGAACGUGCAGGUUUGUUACAUAGGUAUACACGUGCCAUGGUGGUUUGCUGCACCCAUCAACCCAUCACAUUAGGUAUUUCUCCUAAUGCUAUCCCUCCCCUACCUCACUCCCCGCCCCCCACCACAGGCCCCGGUGUGUGAUGUUUCCCUCCCUGUGUCCCUGUGUUCUCAUCUGAACAAGCAAUCUUAUGGAUACCCACUAGGUUUCUCCGUGGCAUUUGAUGAGGUUCUUCUAUUCCUUUCUGAUGGGUUUUUUUUUUCACCCCUGGUUGCCACCUUCUGGUUUUCCUUAUUCCUCCCUGGCAUCUCUGCUACCUCUUGGGGUUACCCAGGAUUCGCUGUGAUCCCUUUUGUGCUCUGUCUAUUUGGGUGAACCAUGUUCCCACAGCUUCAACUCUCACCAAUAUGAAGUGAGUCCCAGAUUGGCAUGUAAGCUAGCUUCAGCAUGCUCCUGUGUUCCAAUCAGUUACCUGCAGUCUGGUGCGCUUACCCAUGCCCUUUAGGCCAAAAAAACACCCCAAAAUAAAUCCAAAAUUGAUUUUAGUUUUCACCACCCACCCCAUAUCCGCUUCAUUGUUAGCCAAGAUUUGUCCGUUUUUUUUUGGCAGUGGUUCCACCGUUCAUGGAGAGAUGUUGGAGCAGGGGUCUCACGGUGAUGCCGGGCUCCCGCACUGCCCACAUGCAGGCCAUCACCAGAUCCUGUUGCUUCUCUGUGCUGUGAAAUUCCACAAAGGUCCGCUGUAGUCACGCUGGCCUUGCCUUGCUUUAGAGCCCAAAAGUGGCAAAAUGGUGGCCGGUGUGCCACUUCUAGCAGUAGGCAGCAGUGUUGUUGGCCUGAACAAAGUAUAUACAACUUGAGUUCAUAUUUAGAAAUCUGGAGAUGCCACUUGGAUAUAUAGCUUCUCCUAAAAGCCAGAAGACCUGGAUGAGGCAGUGUGCAGUGGCUCAUACCUGUAAUCCCAGCACUGUCGGAGGCUGAAGCAGGCGGAUCGCUUGAGGUCAGGAGUUCAAGACCAGCCUGAUCAACAUGGUAAAACCGCAUCUCUACUAAAAAUACAAAAAUUAGCUGCACCUGUAAUCCCAGCUACUCGGGAGGCUGAGGCAGGAGAAUCGCUUGAACCCAGGAGGCAGAGGUUGCAGUGAGCUGAGAUGGCACCACUGUACUCCAGCCUGGGCGACAGACUGAGACUCUGUCUCAAAACAAAAACAAAAACAAAAAACAAAACAAAAAAAAACCUGGAAUAAGAGGCUUACAUUCCCAUGUGGCAACACUCAGCUGCUGCUGGGUUUCCAGUGCCUGAAUACACUGGAGGUAGGUUGCUUUCUGGUUCCCCCAGGCCUAUGACCCUUGCUUAUAGUAGCAUUCUGGCUCCCGUGGGCUUCAGAGCUAGAGACCCUAGGCUGAGACGAUCAUCGACAGCCUGGGAAUGCCUAGUGCUUACUGCACAGUGUCGUGCACCUCAUGUUGCAUCCCUUCUAACUCUCUUCCAUGUUAUUGCUGGUGUGACUCUCCUCCUGCUGCCCCAAAUCCAAGUCUUCUUGGGUCCCGCCUAAUAAAAUUCAAUGGCUCCCUCUUGAUCUGGGCUUAAACCCCUGACUCUAAAGGAGUGGCCAUGUCAUAUCACAAGUUGGGUAUCUCAGAUUGAAAGAUGAGCUCUCCGCUAUCUUUAUACAGUGUUGUACCCGAGUUUCUGAAGAUGCUUUUGAGCUUCUGUAGGGUAGUUAAUACAGAGUUCUAGUGUUGAUGGCAGUCCUGCUGUUUACAAACCAUUUCUACAAACCUGACUACUGCCUCACUUCCUCGCAGCCCCCCUGGGUGGAGAUAGGGCAGGGUUGAUUCUAUAUCCCAAACAGCAGUGGGGAGUCUGUAAAUAUGGAGACAUAGGCCAUCCCAGGGAGUCCCCCACCCUUGGAACAUGGGGAACCUUGUUUUACAUGUGGUACCCAGAGUCAUACAGUGUGUUCCCGAGGUCAUUCAGAUGCCUUAGGGCAGAGUCUUGACCCAGAACUCAGUUCCUGUCAGCAUGCAGCCAGGGAACUUUCCACAGUGCUCCAUGGGCUCACCAGGCUGCUGGCCAUUUGUAAUGACCCAACAGAGUCAAAGCUUUCUUCACUCCCUUCCCAUCUCCCUGCCUUGUCCCCUGCCUGAAACAUUCUUUUCUUGCAAAACUGAACCUCCCGUAAACUGCACUGGUACCGCCCAGUGCUUUUCUGCCUUUGCUCCUUCUGUACCUCUGCCUGGAAUUCCCUUUCUCCUCCUGUGUUCAUUGUCUGGCUGAUUUCUCCUUUUUCAAGACUCACGCUCAAAAAGGCCUUGCUGGCAGUCACCACCCCAGCCCUCUGUGGCACAUGUGCAGUGUACACACACGUCACCCCUCCCCGUGCCUACCUCAAUGAUGGCAGUUUUUUGUGUUGUAGCAACAUGCCCUAUCCAGUAGACUCUAAGCUCCAGAAAGACGUGCCUGUGUUUUAGUUUUAUUUGCACCAGCAGUGGUGUGUGGCCCAAAGGCAAUUAACAGAUGUCUGAACUAAACCAUAUUCAUAUUUUUUGUAAGUUUACUGCAUGCUUUAUGGAAGAGUGUUUGUAUUCCAGACUCAAAGGGGAGCUCUCUCUGCCAGACCUCCAGCCCUCAUUUUGGUACUAGCGAAUUUAAUAUAUAUCCUCAGACAUUUUAAAUUUUUGAUUAACCUUGUCUUUUGAGAUAAAACAUUACUUAGAGAAAAGCGGAAGUCUAAUACAGAAGCAUUUCUGUGCCUGUGUUCACUUCAGUUAUCCUCAUCUGAACCUCCCUUUGGCAUGGUUCUGCCCUCCUUGAGGUCUGUUGGCUGUGCUGCACUCUGCAUUUCGUGGUUUUACAGGGUAGGAGAAUGCAUUUUGGUUUAUUUCUAUUAACCUUGGUGAUGGUGAUAUAUGACCUCUUGGUGACUUUUUUUUUUUUUUUUUUUUUUUUUUUUUGCCAUGGAACUUUUUUGGCUGGUAUCGUCAAUCACAUUUGGUGGAAAGAGCAGGCUGGGAGAGGGUAUGGGCUGCACCACCAAUAGAGUGUGUAGGUUACCAUCUAGAACUCAGUUUCCUUGUCUAUAUAAUGGGUAUAUUGAAAUAAAUGAUCUAAAAGGUGUCUUAUUUUUAAAACCUAUAAAUUCUUGGCUCAGUUUCCUUUUGAUGUGGCUUUCUCAUAAAUGUUAAGUCUAGAUAAAAUUUUUUCGUAAAUGCAUUAUCCUGUGCUCAUACACCUUAAAGUUCUUGUCUCUCACUUUUUUAAGCCUAUAAAAUCAUUCAGCAUUAUAUUCAGAAACAGCAUCAUGGGCCAACAUGAAGAUUUAGUUUGUAUUCCCACUUAGAGCAUUUAUAAAAAUUUUAAAUAAAUUAGGUCCCAUAUACUUGAAUCUUGUCAACCUGUUCUCCACACAUAAAUGUGCCCAUCUUCUCUUUGCAAACCAUCUUUCCUCAUGAGUAGAUUGCACGCCUAAUCUGAAAACCAAUAUUGGGUUUUUAAAAAAUACCCUUAGGUACAGAAUGGAGUCAAAUGCAAUAAACUACAUCUUUAGGUUAUCUCUUCUCUGCAAGUUCCCAAUUGAAGAAUACUGAAAGAUUAGUAUGAUUUUAUUUCUCUUUUGAGAAAUACCACCUCCCAUCCAACAGGCCAAGUCUAUUUCUACAGUCAGUGAGUCUUGCCUUUAUUCUGCUGUUAGAUUUCUAGGUCUGGAUGUAAGCCCAGUCCAGGGAAGUCGGCAUCCCUUCUGGGAUUCUUUCUGUGCAUGAGGAUGGCCACUGAGCCCAAGCAAUCCUCUAUUUGUAAUUCCACUCAUAUGUUUUGGCAAACAUGUCCUAGGAUUCCUCCAAAUGUUGGGGUGGACACCCUAGUUCAAGAUUAGAUCAGGAACACCCAGGCUUUUGCCACAGUUUGACCUAAGACAUUAUCCUUUGCUUCAGAAGAUCAUUUGAGAAUUGGAAUUUACAUCCAUUGUGCCUUUCCAUUUUUCUUAUUUAAUUCUUUGAAGAAUAAUAUGAGGAGACUUUAAUAUAAAAGAAAAAAUCCCAUCAAGAGUCAGAAAGGAUUUCCUGUUACGGCUGCAAAUCUUGGUAAACGCACUUUGUUUUUGUAAACCAUGCCCCACCCCCAACCCCUAGUGAGAACUCGUAACCUGGGGAAUUUCUCUUGAGAGCAUACCAAAAAUAGCAUCAGUGCCUUCUCUUACCCCUACCCCAACUUUCGCCCUCCAUGUAGUGCCAGCAAAUACAGCUAUAGAAAAAAUAACCACUUGUUUUUAUCCUAAGUUUUUAUGGGCCAAAUCUUGAAGGUGGAUGUGGGUAUGUGAAAGAGUUUAAUGCCAAAUACAAAGCCCACUCGGAAAUGAGUAAGGUGACUACAAAUGAAAAUGGAUGUUUCUUUCUUCCUUUCGGGAAAGUGCUAUGUAAAUAAAGGCAGUGUUUGCUUCCUCUACUAAAAUUUAUUUCUUCAGUUUUUAAAUAAGAAAUCCACUCAAGAAGUUAUUCUUACUGAGGAUUUGGUCACUGUUAAGAUUAUAGGAACUAUUAACUACUGCAUUAUCUUUUGCUUACAAGAGAACAAACCCAAAUCAAAAUAACUUGGAAACAAGGCAGAGAGCUGUUGGCUGACACUGCCCACUCAAGCAUGGGAGAGGUGACUCUGGCCCUGAAGAUGACUGGAACCAAAGACUGAGGACUUGGAGGCUUUCUUCUCUCCUUGCCUCUCAUCUCUGCUUCUGUCUGCUGAUUGUGGUUGUCCUCUCCGGGACCAUGACUGGUCGCACAGCCUUUAUGUGUCAGUGCCAGAGCCUGGACCCGGGUCUGUAGAUGUGUGAACCGUGAGCUGAUACCAUGGAUUUUCAAAGAUUUACAUCCCAUCAAUGUUUAUACCUUCUUGAGAAGAAAUUUGUGUCAAAGCACACGCCUCCUUUCAAGACUACCUCCUCGCCGUGCUGCGUGAUAGCGCUAGUAUCACAACCAAAACACAUGAUACAGAAGGAGGCCAGUAUCUGUGUGACACCUUUCCUGCUGCACUCUCAGUGGGCAGUACUCCCCAAUGAUCACCUGGUCAUCUGUCCUGCUCGCAGGCUUCAGGCUCUUGUGCGUUGGCCAUGAAGCAAAGAAAGGCUGUUGCAUGAAAUAACCUCCUUCUGACUCCACCCUUGCAUUUGUGAGAUGUAAACAGCAGUGUUACCAAGAGAUCUUCCAGGGAGCACGUUGCAGGUAGCCCUGUCAUGCUGGCUGCUUUUUUCCGUUAGGUUAGUUGUGAAUAACGAAUAAAUGUCUAUGCAGGGCCAGGCAUGUCUAUGCUGGCUCACGCCUGUAAUCCUAGCAGUUUGGGAGGCUGAGGUGGGCAGAUCACCUGAGGCUGGGAAUUCAAAAACAGCCUGAACAUAGUGAAACCCCGUCUCUACUAAAAAUGCAAAAAAUUAGCUGGGCAUGGUGACGCACGCCCGUAAUCCCAGCUACUUGGGAGGCUGAGGCAUGAGAAUCACUUGAACCCUGGAGGCGGAAGUUGCAGUAAGCAGAAUUGUGCCACUGCACUCCAGCCUGGGUAACAGAGGGAGGCUCUGUCUCAAAAUAAAACAAAACAAAAAAUGUCUAUGCAGUAGGAAAAAUAAUCUAUUUGGUUUAAUAUUUAGGUCUCUGCAAGGGUAGCAUCCAGAGGCUUCUCUUUUCAUUCUUGUUUUUCUGACUGUGAAAAAAUCAUUCUACUGUGUCCAGUGAUGUCCAGAUACCAAGAAAUAACUAUUUUAAACAUAUGGUGAAUAUUGUUAAAGCACAUGGUGAUGGUCAUUUAAUUAUGAUUUGAUUCCGUCAAUAUGCAAAAGAGUUCUAAGAAUGUUGGGUUAACCUUAGCAAGCAUUCCCAGAUAGGAAAUGUGUUUUCUGCUACCAUUGAUAGGAUUUUUUAAGGGUUUUACUGGCAGUUAUCCACUUUGGACUUCAUACAGCAGUCUGAGUAUAUGCCCACACCUGAGUUGUUGCUCUAACAGUGAGAUUAGGGGAUGCCAGGGAGAAUCUGUGUGAUGACUUAAUUGUAAGGGAGAGCUUUCUUUCUAAAGGUGUGGAUUGUUCUCUUUGAAAUUUGUAUACUAAAAGACUCCUAUUAUCUUAUGCCAAACCUGUGCUAAUUUCUUAAUGACAUGUUAGUUAAAAUAACAAUGUGGAAGAUUGGCUAAGGAUGCCACAGUAUUCAUAAUAAACCUGUUCUUAUGCAGCAAGGUGGUAAAUCAUGAAUAUCAAAGUUCUGAUCAUACUAAUUUGAAUUAAUUUAGCAUAGUGGAAAGUAUGAAGACAUAGUUUUUCCAAUGCAUAUGUCACUUCUUAGCCUAAAAUUUCUAUGAGUGGGGCAAGUACAUUUUUUACAUGUACAGUGGCAAAAUUAUGCUGUGUACUGCUCUCUACCUUGUGUUCUGGUUCUGCGUGUGUUUUCUCUGCCCUGUUAGGAACCUGCAAGUGGAGUAUCUUAUUCUUUUGGGCUCCUCCCACCAUAGCUGGCACAGAGGAGCCCAAAAAGUACUUCCAAGGGGAGAGGGAAGUGGAAAAUAAUGCAUCAUCAGUGUGUCAAGUACUAUUAGGCAUCUUUUAUACACGAUCCUGUUGAAUCCUAACAACCCUUGUAAGGUAGAAAUCAUUCCUGGUUUAUAGGUGAGAAAAAUGAGAUUCAGGUGUUUAGAACACCCUGCUCCGAUUCCCACUGAUGGGAUAUAGACUCCGGGUCUGUGUCUCUCUGUGGUGGACACUUUGGAUCCUGAAACACUAUCUUCAGGAAUGAUUGAGGCUAAGCCAUGUGGCUGAGCAGUGAUGCACGGCCUCACAGAUUGAAGGUCAGAGCAUUGCUGGGCAGAGGAUGAGUUUAGAGGUCAAACAAACUUGGUUUCAAACUCCAGGUCCACACUUAGUAGUGUGUGGCUUUAGGCAAAAUACUUCCCUCUCUGUGCUUUAUUUCCAUAGCUAGAGAAUAGAGAAUGAUGAGGAUAUUACCCUCCUUGCAGAGAAAGAUCACAGUGUCCCCAGUUAACAUGCAGAGAAAUAGGAAAUACAGUGACUCAAGUCGCUUGGCAAAGACAGGGCUGUGGCAGGUUGAGAAUUCACGUCUUUGACUCCUGUCACCUGUUACCUGUCCAGAUGCCAAGUCUGGGUACAGUUUGAUGACAGAACUGCCAUCACCUGCCACUCACCCUUGGUUAGCCCUUAGCGGCCCACAUAACUUGGUGGCUCUUACAACCCGAUCCUAGAGUCCCAUGGCUGAUUCAUGCUCUUUUUCUCUAUUGUGUCGUCUGUGUAUUCACUCCUGUGUUCUCGAGGAAGAUUCAUUCUAGAGGGUAAAAGAGAGUCCACAAGACUUGUUCUUAAUGUAUACACCCCACACAGGACAAGAAGGAAGUUGAAGGUGGCAGCCUAUUGUAUUUGGGUGAUGUGCAGCUGAAGAGCUAGUUUUUGAGCACUUACUCUGUAAUAGGUGCUUAGAGGGGCACAGAAGUAUCUGCAAAACAGGCCAAUCUUUGAGGGGUUUAUCUAUUUAGGUAGAAAGGGCACAUCCAUGAUAUUUAAUAACAAUUUGAGAUAGUCUAGAACAGUGGCAUAUGGUGUGGGGGAGGGGGAGGCAAUCAGGGAGCAUUGUCUGUAGAGGAUCUGAAAGCAAAAAUGAAAUUACCUCAGUUUUUUUUAUUAUCAUGGUGAUAAAAUAUUCCUCCACCAGACCCAACCACUUCUACCACUCCCACCUUGUCCCUAAGUCCUGUACUGGAUCAAUAAUCAGCUGGCAAAAUGAGUUGAUAUCAGUGACAUGUUUGGGAGGUCAAGCUGGCAGUGGUCAGUGUGGACUGAACUGUUGGGGAAGGCUGCGUGGAAGUCCCCUCCCCUCCCUCUCAGUUAGGACAGGACACCAGGAGAGCAGUCUGUGACCCUGAAGACUGCAGCAGUCCCUGAUGCCCGUGCGAGCCGUGGGCCAGGAAAGUGCUUUCUGUGCAUUGCCUCACCACGUGAGAGGCUGGUAGCCCAAGAUGGUUCUGUAGCUGAGGAAUCUGGGUGAGUGACAGGUGUCCUCCUAUGCGAGAUUAGGGGAGUAACGCCCAGCUUUCAGACAGCCAGCAGGGGGGCUCAGUAGUGCUAAUGCCAAGCCCUUCAUGCAGAGAAGUGACUUAAGUGUCAGUCACUACUUUGUGCCAGAGGUAAAUCUCUCUGCAGAGGGAAAUGUUGGCACAUAACUGAUAAAAACCAGUGUCUAGGUAGCCCUCCUGGGCACAACCGUCCUCAUUUUUUCUUUUACUUGACUCUCCACUAAAUCCUUUUUGCCCGAAACUUUGUAGAAUUGGUAUUUAUUGAUUUGUAUCAGCUAAGAGUUGGCUAUUUAGUCUCUGACAUGCUCUUUAUGGCUGAAGAAAAACAGGUAACUCCUUCACUGAGGAGAGAUUAAUUCCCUUGAAAGGAAGACAAAAGUUUUCCUGGACAACUUUGGAAAGGUGUGAAACAUUAAAUAUCUAUGACAGCAAGACACGGGAAUACACGAACCUGUGUUAAGGCCUGAUCCCUUCUGGGCCAGGCACAUAAGCUGAAAACGGUACCUGAGCAAUUUCUGAGUAUGUCAUGAAAAGGCACUGAAAUACAGAAUUUUCUCUAUGGAAAAGAGUGUCCCGGCUUGGAAACUGUGUGUCUGAAGCAAAAAAUUUCCUCAAAAUUGUUCUGCAAAAAGGGAGUUGCCGUCUAGUAGGGUCCUUACAAAAUCAUUAGAGUUCGCAAAAAAAAAAAAGCUAGAUAGAUGAGAUCCAUGAAUGACUGGCUGAGAACAGAUGGGGAAGGCGAAUUCGCCUGAAAUUCUCUCAGUCAAUGCAUAUUAUGAAUGCUUAUCGAGGUUGCUUCAUGAAAAGGGGUUAAAUUUUAAAAAAGAGAGGCAAAGAAAUUGAAUAUAGAUUUAGUACUUGUUCCUGAGGUUAUAACUUCAGAGUUGCCAGAUAUUGAACGUUGAAUUAGUUAGGGUAGCGCUAGUUGUUGUAACAAAUAAACCCAAAUAUGUACCGUGACUCAAACAUGAUGGAAGAUUAUUUUCCACUUGUAUAAAGCCCGAAGUGGGCGUGUUUAUGUGAAACCUGGUGAUUCGGCGACCCAGCCUCUUCCUGUCUGUGGUUCCACUUUAUUUAACAGGCAGUUGCUAAGGUCACGUACUUGUCAGCAUUGAACUGGUGGAAGCAGAAAGAUCAUGGAGGACUGCAUAUGGGAGAUUUUGAUAGGCUAGGCCUGGGAGUGGAACGUGUCACUUCUCCUAUUUCAUUAAGUACAGUUCAGCCUUAUGGUCACGCCCACCUACCUUGAAGGCUAGGAAAUGUAGCCCAGCUCUGUGGUUGGCAAGAAGAGGAAAUGGGUUUCCUGAGGAGCUAGCUGCCCUCUGUCAUUUGAAAUUUUAUUAAGACCAUUGAAGGUCACUUUAAAAGUAACACGAUCACUAAUAUGCUGUGUGGAUCGUGAAUAUAUUUUUGCCUCUGAGGGCAACUUUCUUGGUCACUCUGAAGGGCUUCUGAUGGCCUAGGGUAGGUGUUUCAGUGGCAGUGUUGCACGUCGUUUUGAAAAGUGCUGUGUCAUAGGCAACUUGGAAGGUAAGGAGGUGCUGUGCUUAGAAGAAUGGUUAGACAACUCACAAAUUGAGGACAGCCAUGUGGACACUACCUGGGAAGACUGUGAGCUAAAUUGCUUCAUGGAAGGUGGACAUGGAAUGAAAAGUACUAUUUCUAACUCAUAGUGUAUGUGAUUUCAUGUGAGUCAUAAAGUUUAUUUGGGCAGAUUGACCAAAAUUUGUAGGGGGUAGGGAUUUUCUCAUUGGGAAAAGAAGAGGGCUGUCUUAUCUGGGAGAUGCCCUAUAUCCAAGCAUGCAUGGGAAUUAGAAGUUAAUCAAAGAAAUAAAGAAUUAACGAUGGAGGAGGGGAGCCUCACUCUUGCAAUGUGGGAGAAGUUGGUCAGAUGUGCUGGAAACACACUUAUACAUCUGGGAGGAAAAAGAGAGGUGAAAGCUGGGGAAUGGGGUUAGUGCCAAUCCUGCACUCUGACUGAGGGAAUGAAAAGAGACCCAGGGGAUUGGGCAAGGGGCGGGCAGGUGACCUGUCCCUGGGAGAAGCCCUUGGCAGUGCCAGUCUUGUGGUGGGUACCCCCGUGUGCUCUCUUUUUUUUCUGUGUGAUGUGGGCAGGUUCCCCAACCUCUCUGCAUCUCUGUGUGUAAGAGUCUGUGAGAUGAUGUGUUCACAGAGCUGUGCACAUCGUAGGGGCUUUAUGAAAGUUUCUUCUCCCAUCUUCUGUGCAGCUACUCACCAGCCCCAUUGUUGGGGAUCAUUGUCUCCAUAAUUGGCUGUGAGUAACUGGGGAGAUGUUCUCCCCUAUAAAAUGCAACUUCAUGACAAAAA